rnacentral:rRNA from 1 species
AUAUCAAUAAGCGGAGGAAAAGAAACCAACAGGGAUUGCCCCAGUAACGGCGAGUGAAGCGGCAACAGCUCAAAUUUGAAAUCUGGCCCUCGGGUCCGAGUUGUAAUUUGUAGAGGAUGCUUUUGGCGCGGUGCCUUCCGAGUUCCCUGGAACGGGACGCCUUAGAGGGUGAGAGCCCCGUACGGUUGGACACCAAGCCUCUGUAAAGCUCCUUCGACGAGUCGAGUAGUUUGGGAAUGCUGCUCUAAAUGGGAGGUAAAUUUCUUCUAAAGCUAAAUAUUGGCCAGAGACCGAUAGCGCACAAGUAGAGUGAUCGAAAGAUGAAAAGCACUUUGAAAAGAGGGUUAAAUAGCACGUGAAAUUGUUGAAAGGGAAGCGUUUGCGACCAGACCUCUCCCCGGCGGAUCAUCCGGCGUUCUCGCCGGUGCACUCCGCCGGGCUGAGGCCAGCAUCGGUUCCCGCGGGGGGACAAAAGCGGGGGGAACGUAGCUCCCUCGGGAGUGUUAUAGCCCUCCGCAUAAUACCCUCGCGGGGACCGAGGACCGCGCUUCGGCAAGGAUGCUGGCGUAAUGGUCGUCAACGACCCGUCUUGAAACACGGACCAAGGAGUCGAACAUUUGUGCGAGUGUUUGGGUGUCAAACCCUCACGCGUAAUGAAGGUGAACGUAGGUGAGAGCCCUCGCGGGCGCAUCAUCGACCGAUCCUGAUGUCUUCGGAUGGAUUUGAGUAAGAGCAUAACUGUUCGGACCCGAAAGAUGGUGAACUAUGCGUGGAUAGGGUGAAGCCAGAGGAAACUCUGGUGGAGGCUCGCAGCGGUUCUGACGUGCAAAUCGAUCGUCAAAUCUGCGCAUGGGGGCGAAAGACUUAUCGAACCAUCUAGUAGCUGGUUA